rnacentral:rRNA from 1 species
UACGGAGGGGGCUAGCGUUGUUCGGAAUUACUGGGCGUAAAGCGCACGUAGGCGGCCUUGUAAGUUAGAGGUGAAAGCCCGGGGCUCAACUCCGGAAUUGCCUUUAAGACUGCAUCGCUAGAAUUGUGGAGAGGUAAGUGGAAUUCCGAGUGUAGAGGUGAAAUUCGUAGAUAUUCGGAAGAACACCAGUGGCGAAGGCGACUUACUGGACACAUAUUGACGCUGAGGUGCGAAAGCGUGGGGAGCAAGCAGG